AUCGCAACGAUUGCGACCCC
rnacentral:rRNA from 1 species